CGUUGGUUAGCUCAAUGGCAGAGCACCAGAUUAUGGAUCUGGAAGUUGCGGGUUCGACUCCCGUACCAACACCCA
rnacentral:tRNA from 1 species